rnacentral:pre_miRNA from 1 species
UACCCUGUAGUUCCGGGCUUUUGUUUAUAGUGCAUACGAAUGCCAUUGUCAAUUAUCAGAAGCUCGUCUCUACAGGUAUCU